UUAUAAUCAUAUUUGUUUUUCCUUUUAGGACAAGUUGUUUGAAAUGAGCUUACAUCCUGAAAUAACCCCAAGUUAUUGGGAACAAGACUUUUGAAAAUUUCCUGGAAGAAUGCAUUAUUAUUUUGAACUGGAAGAAAGGUUGAGGGAGCUGGCAGUCUAAUAGGGAGACAGAAGAACAAAUGGCCAUUACAAUGAAGAAUGAAAAGAGAUGAAGAGAGGGGAUAAAAACAGUAUCUGAGGAGCCUCGGAGGGAAGACUUUCUAGAUGUGGUCAACCUGGAGUUGAAUCUUGGAAGAUGAGAGGUCGCCUAAUGAGAAGACACAGGAGGUAGAGCAGCACUUGCUGACUCAGAAGCAUUAACAUGAAACGCUGGAGUGCAGGGCACAAUAAUGGUUGACUGCAGCCUCAACCUCCAGGGCUCAAGGGAUCCUUCCACCUCAGCCUCCCCAGUAGUUGGGAUUACACAG